CAAUAGCGUAUAUUAAAGUUGUUGCAGUUAAAAAGCUCGUAGUUGAACUUCAGGCCUGGCUGGGCGGUCUGCCUCGCGGUAUGUACUGUCCGGCUGGGUCUUACCUCUUGGUGAGCCUGCAUGCCCUUUAUUGGGUGUGUAGGGGAACCAGGACUUUUACCUUGAAAAAAUUAGAGUGUUCAAAGCAGGCCUACGCUCUGAAUACAUUAGCAUGGAAUAACACGAUAGGACUCUGGCCUAUCUUGUUGGUCUGUAGGACCGGAGUAAUGAUUAAGAGGGACAGUCGGGGGCAUUCGUAUUUCAUUGUCAGAGGUGAAAUUCUUGGAUUUAUGAAAGACGAACUACUGCGAAAGCAUUUGCCAAGGAUGUUUUCAUUAA
rnacentral:rRNA from 1 species